AUUGAACGCUGGCGGCAUGCCUUACACAUGCAAGUCGAACGGUAACGCGGGGCAACCUGGUGACGAGUGGCGAACGGGUGAGUAAUGUAUCGGAACGUGCGCAGUUGUGGGGGAUAACUGCUCGAAAGAGCAGCUAAUACCGCAUACGACCUGAGGGUGAAAGCGGGGGAUCGCAAGACCUCGCCCAGUAGGAGCGGCCGAUAUCAGCUUAGGUAGUUGGUGGUGUAAAGGCUCACCAAGCCAACGAUCUGUAGCUAGUCUGAGAGGACGACCAGCCACACUGGGACUGAGACACGGCCCAGACUCCUACGGGAGGCAGCAGUGGGGAAUUUUGGACAAUGGGGGCAACCCUGAUCCAGCCAUGCCGCGUGCGGGAAGUAGGCCUUCGGGUUGUAAACCGCUUUUGUCAGGGAAGAAAAGACUCCUGUUAAUACCGGGGGUUCAUGACGGUACCUGAAGAAUAAGCACCGGCUAACUACGUGCCAGCAGCCGCCGUAACAC
rnacentral:rRNA from 1 species